UACUUUGCCUAUAGAAGACUGGGGAGACCUGAUAGUAGCCUUCCAGUACUUAAAGGGGGCCUCCAGGAUAGACGAGGGACUCUUUUUCAGGGACUGUAAUCAUAGAAUCAUAGAAUGAUAGAAUCAUAGAAUGGCUUGGGUUGAAAAGGACCUCAAAGAUCAUCGAGUCUCAACCCCCCUGCCAAGUGCAGGGUCGCCAACCACUAGACCAGGCUGCCCAGAGCCACGUCCAGUCUGGCCUUGAACGCCUCCAGGGACGGGGCAUCCACAACCUCCCUGGGCAACCUGUUCCAGUGCGUCACCACCCUCUGUGUGAAAAACUUCCUCCUAAUAUCCAACCUAAAUCUCCCCUGUCUCAGCUUAAAACCAUUCCCCCUUGUCCUAUCACUAUCCACCCUCACAAACAAUCGAUCCCCCUCCUGUUUAUACGCUCCCUUCAAGUAUUGGAAGACCACAAUGAGGUCUCCCCGGAGCCUUCUCUUCUCCAAACUGAACAAGCCCAGUUCCCUCAACCUUUCCUCAUAGGAGAGGUGCUCCAGCCCUCUGAUCAUCUUGGUGGCCCUCCUCUGCACUCGUUCCAACAGCUCCACGUCCUUCUUGUGCUGGGGGCCCCAGGCCUGGACACAGUACUCCAGAUGGGGCCUCACGAGAGCCGAGUAGAGGGGGACCACCACCUCCCUCUCCCUGCUGACCACUCCUCUUCUAAUGCAGCCCAGAACAUAGUUGGCCCUCUGGGCUGCCAGCGCACACUGCUGGCUCAUGUCCAGCCUCUCGUCCACCAGGACCCCCAAGUCCCUUUCCGCAGGGCUGCUUUCAAGUACCUCUUCCCCCAGGUUGUAUAAAUACCUGGGAUUGCCCCGACCCAAGUGCAGCACCCUGCACUUGGCCUUGUUAAACCUCAUUAGGUUAAUGACAGGACAAGGAGUAAUAGUCUCAAACAACAAAAAAAAGGUGAUCUUAGAUAAGAUAUUAAAAAUAUUUUUUUUUCACUAAGAAGUUUUUGAGGC
rnacentral:lncRNA from 1 species